AGGUAGGCUUAGCUGAGAGACUGGCCCAAAGUCCUCCAGAGGGUUUCCUGGCUGCAAUUAAUGUUAACGUCGCUCAAGGUUCUGCUCCAGGCUUCCCCCGACGUGGUCCCCUCCACAGGUUUUGGACUACAGCUCCCAGCAUUCCUGGGCACUGGCCUUACUGGCUGAUGGGAGAUGAUUGUCUUUAUUUUUGCACUUAGGUGUCUUUCCUUCAAGGAGCCCAAGGUGACUUACGUGACCUCUCUCCUUCCUAUUUUUGUCCUCCCAACAACCCUGUGAGGUAGAUCAGGCCAAGGGAGUCAGUGACUGGCCCAAACAGAGCUGGGAGGUGUCAUGGCCAAAGGAAGGCACGAACCCGUUCUGCCCAGUCCGCUGCUCUAAUCAGUACACCGUACUUCCUCUCACCAUAGACUCUUAAUUUGGAAGGAGAUGGGGUAGGAAUCUGCCUGGGCCUGCCGCUCGUCAAGGCACACUCUCUGCUCCAGGGACCAUUCACUGGGCAGCUCUGCUGCUUUAUCUGGACGCCUGUUUUCUCUGGCCCCUUUCCAGCCCUCCAGUGCUGCAGCAGUGCGUUCGCCUGGAUUUCUCCGUGGCCUCCCUUGCAUCGGGGCAGAGCGGGAAAGCGCAAUCCAAGGGGAAAGACUGUUGCUCAGUGGCAGACAAGACUUGUACGCAGGAAGAAAGGCCCAGACAGCCAGCCGCUCACCUCGCUGCCCGGAGAAAGGAAAAGAAGAGGAUGCACAUUAGCAACAAACAUGGACACUGCUAACGUUUAUAUGCACAAUUGGAAAGAAUUGGUGCAACUCCAAAAGAAGCACAGGGCAUCUCAAGGAAGCAUGGAAGGCUUGCCCAGGUGCACCUUCUGUGCUUAACCCGCUCUCCAGAUACCGUUGAUGGGCAGCCUCAAAGCCCGGCUCUUCCUCCAUCUGGAUGGUUCUUGAUCUUUAAAGCUGGUUUGGACAGCCCUUCAAGCAAACGGUGCCUUCCCAGUACAGGACAGACCUGUGGCAGCCCUUCUGAGAGACAAUGACCGCUGAAAGGCCCUGAAGGGGUCUUGCCUGAGCUGUGCGGCUGGGUUAGCCUAGAAAGAGGGUGUGAUGUAGCUGGCAAGAGUGGCGCUUGCCUAGGGACCUGGAAGACCUGAGUUCUUGUCCCCUCUCAGCCGUGAUGCACUUUGAGUCAGUCAUUCCCACUCAGCCUCAUCUACCUCACAGGGCUGUUGUGGUCAUGAGGAUAUAAUGGAGCUAUGUAAGUGUCUUGGGUUUUCUUCAAAAGAAAACAAGCGUGAUAUAAUGCAAGUAGUAGUAAUAGCAGUAGGUGUAUUUUUUUCUGUUCUUCCAAUGUAGGAGUUUAUUCUGUAUUUUUCUACUGUUAGGCCUUUGCAAUGAAUUAUUCAAGGUCUGCUUAAGCUUGAUGAAUAUUUAUUUUGAUGCAAUUGGGCUAUUUGAUGUAACUUUUGUUAUGACUGGUCAGGGUCACUUGUCCUGAAAGCUUGCCAUAUUUCUUGCACUUUUGCUUUCUUCGGAGGUCUCUGUAAGCUACUUUGAAUGCCAUUUUGUUGUGGUAAAGUGGCAUACAAACCAACCGAGAAGGAGGAAUGAGCCAGGUUUGGUUUCUUGCAGCGUCUCUAGGUGAGCUAGAGAACACUCUGGCCUGCAGCCCUGAGUGGCAGGAACAGUGGUUGCUUCCAUGGAUACGUCCAGCUCCAGCAAACACUGUCAUUGCCAGCUGUUUUGCAAAGAGCAAAAGCAAUAUGCUUUGGAAGUGCAUUUGGCCUUCCCUUUGUAGUUCCCCUUGGAGUCUGGAGCAAGCGGCAGAAGCUCUUUUGGGCCAAAUCGCACCGCAGAGAAGCACUCACGGGCCAUAUCUCAGCGGUGUGCAAGGCUGAGGGGCGAAAAAGCAGGGCCAGGACACCCCAGAGAUGCUGAAAUAGUGGUCUAAAAAUUAACAUCUCACCAGGGAGUCCUUGGAGGAAUGACUGAGCAAGCAGUGGUCUCAUCAUCAUCAUCAUCAUCAUCAUCAUCGGUAUCCCAGACUCCUUCCUUCCCUUCACUGGAGCUUUAUCCACACAGCUGUCAACAGCUGUCUAGAUAAAAACCAGGGCGCAGGGCAUGGUAGAAGCAGCUUCCAAUUCGGAGCAGCAGGGGUGGUAGGGUUGCAUCCAGAGCAAGACAACUUUUUAGAAAGCAGUCUCCAUUCAUUAGUGGAUAAACCCUGCAGCCUCAGUUCUUUGGGCUGCUGCCACUCAGAAAUCCUUUUGGGGAGGAACAGAGGAUGAGACAGAAAUGUAAGUUUUCAAAAGAAUAACAGGAAGCAAAAAAAGACACUGUUGCAAAUUUGGUUUGUUUUAUCUUUGUGAUUAGAUUAAGGAAAUGCAUUGUUGAAAGUGUUUGUUCUUGAUUGUACAUGCAGAUACAGAGAUGUAUAUUGUUACACAGAGAAAUCACAAAAAAUAGGCAUUUCUGACUCAAA